rnacentral:lncRNA from 1 species
UUAGCCACAGAUUAAUUUUUAGUCAUAACUUAUCAAAUUAUUGGUCGUAACUUAUUUCUCAAUCACAAAUUAAAAAUUUUAUAGGUCACAAAAUAUUUUUUGGUCAAAAAUCAAAUUUUUUUACAGAUAACAGAUUAUUCAUCGAUCACAUAUUUAAAACUUUUAUUGGUUACAAAUCAUUUAUUCAUUGCAAAUUAUUUAAUUAAUUAGUCAAUAUUAAUUUUUCGAUCACAAUUUAAUUAAUUAUGAGUCACAAUUUUUAGGUCACAUAUCCAAUUGCAAGUCACAAUCGAGAGUUAAGGGCAUAGUCACAAUUUUCAGCACCACUACCAUCGCUGCCACCACAGCCAACAAAACCCACCCCAAACCGCAUCCCCCCAUUCCCUUAAAUCACCACCACAAACGCCACAGCUAGCACCGCCAAUGUCACCGAUUUCCACAACCACCGCAUUCACCACCACAAUCGAGUCAAGAAAUUUAUUGGUCACAGACACUAUUAAUCCACCCGACUGAUGCCGACGUUGCCGCCACCAACACCAUGCUGCCAUCACUUGCACCGCAUCCAACAACCAAGAAAAAAAUCAACACCACGAUCUGUGCCGUCAACCAUAAAAGAAAAAAAACAUCAACACUGCGAUUGUUGCUGAUGCAUCUGCGCCAUCGCAAUUUGCAAGCCUCCGACAACGUUUACACACCACGACAACCACCCCGAUCGCCAGAUCAGACACCAUCGCAACACCUCAAAACAACCUACCGCAACACUUCAAACAAACCACAACCACCCCUCUGAAUCACCACAACCACCACCGCCACACCGUCACCACACAAACACCGUCGCCACACCUUACAAAAUUCACGAUCGCCACAGAUCGAUGUUGCUGCUGCAAGUCGCCUCCAAAUCACGACGCUACCGUUUGCAAUAGCAACAUCGAUCGUCAACGCUGGCGAGGCUGUAACUGCUAGCACCACCAUCAUCUCCGAUUCCAACAGCGUCGACCGGAGCAACUUCUUCAUCGUCGAAUUUUGAACAGAAUUAGAGAGAGACGAGAGGGACAAGUUUAGAGAGAUAAGAGAGGUUAGGGUUUG